rnacentral:tRNA from 1 species
GAGGGUGUCGCAGGACCUGCUAAGUCCACAACCUGGGAUAACCACCAGCCCCC